rnacentral:rRNA from 1 species
AACGUAGGAGACAAACGUUUAUUCGGAAUCACUGGGCUUAAAGGGCGCGUAGGCGGGCCGUCAAGUCGAGGGUGAAAUCCCCCAGCUCAACUGGGGAAGUGCCUCCGAUACUGGCGGCCUCGAGGGGGAUAGGGGCAUGCGGAACUUCCGGUGGAGCGGUGAAAUGCGUAGAUAUCGGGAGGAACAUCAGUGGCGAAGGCGGCCUUCUGGU